rnacentral:rRNA from 1 species
GAUGAACGCUAGCGGCAGGCCUAACACAUGCAAGUCGAGGGGUAGCAGGAUUAAGCUUGCUUAAUUGCUGACGACCGGCGCACGGGUGCGUAACGCGUAUGCAACCUACCUUAUACUGGGGUAUAGCCCGGAGAAAUUCGGAUUAAUCCCCCAUAGUACUAAUGAAUCGCAUGGUUUAUUAGUUAAAGCAUUGCGGUAUAAGAUGGGCAUGCGUCCUAUUAGCUAGAUGGUGAGGUAACGGCUCACCAUGGCUACGAUAGGUAGGGGGCCUGAGAGGGUGUUCCCCCACACUGGUACUGGGACGCGGACCAGACUCCUACGGGAGGCAGCAGUGAGUAAUAUUGGUCAAUGGGCGCAAGCCUGAACCAGCCAUGCCGCGUGCAGGAAGAAUGCCCUAUGGGUUGUAAACUGCUUUUAUUUGGGAAUAAACCUUUUUACGUGUAGAGAGCUGAAGGUACCAAAUGAAUAAGCACCGGCUAACUCCGUGCCAGCAGCCGCCGUAA